rnacentral:rRNA from 1 species
AGAGUUUGAUCCUGGCUCAGGAUGAACGCUAGCGACAGGCUUAACACAUGCAAGUCGAGGGGCAGCGGGGGAGUAGCAAUACUUCUGCCGGCGACCGGCGCACGGGUGAGUAACACGUAUGAAACCUGCCCGCAGCAGGGGGAUAAGCGGAAGAAAUUCCGUCUAAUACCGCGUAACAUCCAUCGGAGGCAUCUCCGGUGGAUUAAAGGAGCGAUCCGGCUGCGGAUGGUCAUGCGGCGCAUUAGCUAGUUGGCGGGGUAACGGCCCACCAAGGCGACGAUGCGUAGGGGUUCUGAGAGGAAGGUCCCCCACACUGGUACUGAGACACGGACCAGACUCCUACGGGAGGCAGCAGUGAGGAAUAUUGGUCAAUGGCCGAGAGGCUGAACCAGCCAAGUCGCGUGAGGGAAGACGGCCCUACGGGUUGUAAACCUCUUUUGUCAGGGAGCAAAGAACGCCACGAGUGGCGUCUCGAGAGUACCUGAAGAAAAAGCAUCGGCUAACUCCGUGCCAGCAGCCGCGGUAAUACGGAGGAUGCGAGCGUUAUCCGGAUUUAUUGGGUUUAAAGGGUGCGCAGGCGGGCUGUCAAGUCAGCGGUAAAAUUGAGAGGCUCAACCUCUUCGAGCCGUUGAAACUGGCGGUCUUGAGUGAGCGAGAAGUACGCGGAAUGCGUGGUGUAGCGGUGAAAUGCAUAGAUAUCACGCAGAACUCCGAUUGCGAAGGCAGCGUACCGGCGCUCAACUGACGCUCAUGCACGAAAGCGUGGGUAUCGAACAGGAUUAGAUACCCUGGUAGUCCACGCAGUAAACGA